GAGGGAAAGAUGAAAAGCACUUUGGAAAGAGAGUGAAACAGUACGUGAAAUUGCUGAAAGGGAAACGCUUGGAGUCAGUCGCGUCGUCCGGGACUCAGCCCUGCUUCUGCUGGGUGCACUUCCCGGUUGACGGGUCAGCAUCGGUUUUGGCGGGCAGACAAAGGCGCGGGGAAGGUGGCCGCUCCGGCGGUGUUAUAGCCCCGCGUUGUACGUGUCCGCCGGGACCGAGGAAUCCGGCGCUCGUCGCAUGGGAUGCUGGCGUAAUGGCUUUAAGCGACCCGUCUUGAAACACGGACCAAGGAGUGCUACAUGCUCGCGAGUGUUUGGGUGGAAAACCCGGACGCGGAAUGAAAGUGAAAGUCGAGACCCCUCGCGGGGGCACCGACGCCCGAGCCUGAUGUUUUCGGAAGGCCUUGCGGUAGAGCGAGUAUGUUGCGACCCGAAAGAUGGUGAACUAUUCCUGAGGAGGGCGAAGCCAGAGGAAACUCUGGUGGAGGCUCGUAGCGGUUCUGACGUGCAAAUCGAUCGCAGGACUUGGGUAUAGGGGCGAAAGACUAAUCGAACCAU
rnacentral:rRNA from 1 species